GCAGUGAUGAAACUUCUGUGCUGAAUACCUGAUUAUUUCACUUUGUCCUCUAAGAAGUACUGAGCAC